rnacentral:rRNA from 1 species
ACGUAGGGUGCGAGCGUUAAUCGGAAUUACUGGGCGUAAAGCGUGCGCAGGCGGCUUUGUAAGACAGAUGUGAAAUCCCCGGGCUCAACCUGGGAACUGCAUUUGUGACUGCAAGGCUAGAGUGCGUCAGAGGGAGGUGGAAUUCCGGGUGUAGUGGUGAAAUGCGUAGAGAUGUGGAGGAACACCGAUGGCGAAGGCAGCCCCCUGGGAUGACACUGACGCUCAUGUACGAAAGCGUGGGUAGCAAGCAG